CCAGACUCCUACGGGAGGCAGCAGUGAGGGAUAUUGGUCAAUGGGGGAAACCCUGAACCAGCAACGCCGCGUGAGGGAAGACGGUUUUCGGAUUGUAAACCUCUGUCCUCUGUGAAGAUAAUGACGGUAGCAGAGGAGGAAGCUCCGGCUAACUACGUGCCAGCAGCCGCGGUAAUACGUAGGGAGCGAGCGUUGUCCGGAUUUACUGGGUGUAAAGGGUGCGUAGGCGGCCCUGCAAGUCAGAAGUGAAAUCCAUGGGCUUAACCCGUGAACUGCUUUUGAAACUGCAGGACUUGAGUGGAGUAGAGGUAGGCGGAAUUCCCGGUGUAGCGGUGAAAUGCGUAGAGAUCGGGAGGAACACCAGUGGCGAAGGCGGCCUACUGGGCUUUAACUGACGCUGAAGCACGAAAGCGUGGGUAGCAAACAGGAUUAGAUACCCGUGUA
rnacentral:rRNA from 1 species